CAGUCGCCGCGGGAAAACAGAGGGUGCAAGCGUUAAUCGGAAUUACUGGGCGUAAAGCGCGCGUAGGUGGUUCAUUAAGUUGGAUGUGAAAGCCCUGGGCUCAACCUGGGAACUGCAUCCAAAACUGGUGAGCUAGAGUACGGUAGAGGGUAGUGGAAUUUCCUGUGUAGCGGUGAAAUGCGUAGAUAUAGGAAGGAACACCAGUGGCGAAGGCGACUACCUGGACUGAUACUGACACUGAGGGGCGAAAGCGUGGGGAGCAAACAGGAUUAGAUACCCGCGUAGUCCAUGUCUCUUAUAC
rnacentral:rRNA from 1 species